UACGUAGGGGGCUAGCGUUGUCCGGAUUUAUUGGGCGUAAAGAGCGUGUAGGCGGCCAGGUAGGUCUGGUGUGAAAACUCGAGGCUUAACCUCGAGAUGUCAUCGGAAACCAUUUGGCUAGAGUCCGGAAGAGGAGAGUGGAAUUCCUGGUGUAGCGGUGAAAUGCGCAGAUAUCAGGAAGAACACCCGUGGCGAAGGCGGCUUUCUGGGACGGUACUGACGCUGAGACGCGAAAGCGUGGGGAGCGAACAGG
rnacentral:rRNA from 1 species